CAGGGGGUACCGUACAGAGUCAAUGUGGAGGCUAUAUACAGGGGGUAACGGUACAGAGUCAAUGUGGAGGCUAUAUACAGGGGGUACCGGUACAGAGUCAAUGUGGAGGCUAUAUACAGGGGUUACCGGUACAGAGUCAAUGUGGAGGCUAUACAGGGGGUACCGGUACAGAGUCAAUGUGGAGGUAUAUACAGGGGGUACCGGUACAGAGUCAAUGUGGAGGCUAUAUACAGGGGGUAACGGUACAGAGUCAAUGUGGAGGCUAUAUACAGGGGGUACCGGUACAGAGUCAAUGUGGAGGCUAUAUACAGG
rnacentral:lncRNA from 1 species